rnacentral:tRNA from 1 species
UGUAUUGAAGCUAAAUGGUAGAGCACCUGCCUAGCAUGCACCAAGCCCUGAGUUCAAUUCCCAGCACCACUU